GCGAAAAGAACCCCGGCGAGGGGAGUGAAAAAGAACCUGAAACCGUGUACGUACAAGCAGUGGGAGCACGCUUAGGCGUGUGACUGCGUACCUUUUGUAUAAUGGGUCAGCGACUUAUAUUCUGUAGCAAGGUUAACCGAAUAGGGGAGCCGAAGGGAAACCGAGUCUUAACUGGGCGUUAAGUUGCAGGGUAUAGACCCGAAACCCGGUGAUCUAGCCAUGGGCAGGUUGAAGGUUGGGUAACACUAACUGGAGGACCGAACCGACUAAUGUUGAAAAAUUAGCGGAUGACUUGUGGCUGGGGGUGAAAGGCCAAUCAAACCGGGAGAUAGCUGGUUCUCCCCGAAAGCUAUUUAGGUAGCGCCUCGUGAAUUCAUCUCCGGGGGUAGAGCACUGUUUCGGCAAGGGGGUCAUCCCGA
rnacentral:rRNA from 1 species